UACGUAGGGUGCAAGCGUUAUCCGGAAUUAUUGGGCGUAAAGAGCUCGUAGGCGGUUUGUCGCGUCUGCUGUGAAAACCCGAGGCUCAACCUCGGGCCUGCAGUGGGUACGGGCAGACUAGAGUGCGGUAGGGGAGAUUGGAAUUCCUGGUGUAGCGGUGAAAUGCGCAGAUAUCAGGAGGAACACCGGUGGCGAAGGCGGGUCUCUGGGCAAUAACUGACGCUGAGGUGCGAAAGCGUGGGGAGCAAACAGG
rnacentral:rRNA from 1 species